rnacentral:rRNA from 1 species
UACGGAGGGUGCGAGCGUUGUCCGGAAUCACUGGGCGUAAAGGGCGCGUAGGCGGCCUGAUAAGUAGGGGGUGAAAUCCUGCGGCUUAACCGCAGGGCUGCCUUCUAAACUGUCAGGCUGGAGCACAGUAGAGGCAGGUGGAAUUCCCGGUGUAGCGGUGGAAUGCGUAGAGAUCGGGAAGAACAUCGGUGGCGAAGGCGGCCUGCUGGGCAGUUGCUGACACUGAGGCGCGACAGCGUGGGGAGCAAACAGG